UACGAAGGGGGCUAGCGUUGUUCGGAGUUACUGGGCGUAAAGGGCGCGUAGGCGGCGCACCAAGUCAGGCGUGAAAGCCCUGGGCUCAACCCGGGAAUUGCGCUUGAGACUGGUGUGCUUGAGUAUGGGAGAGGCGAGUGGAAUUCUUGGUGUAGCGGUGAAAUGCGUAGAUAUCAAGAGGAACACCCAUGGCGAAGGCAGCUCGCUGGCCUAUAACUGACGCUGAGGCGUGAAAGCUGGGGGAGCAAACAGG
rnacentral:rRNA from 1 species